GUCGAACGGAUCCUUCGGGAUUAGUGGCAGACGGGUGAGUAACGCGUGGGAAGCUACCUUGUGGUAGGGAACAACAGUUGGAAACGACUGCUAAUACCCUAUGAGCCCUAUGGGGGAAAGAUUUAUCGCCAUGAGAUGUGCCCGCGUUAGAUUAGCUAGUUGGUAAGGUAAUGGCUUACCAAGGCGACGAUCUAUAGCUGGUCUGAGAGGAUGAUCAGCCACACUGGGACUGAGACACGGCCCAGACUCCUACGGGAGGCAGCAGUGGGGAAUAUUGGACAAUGGGGGCAACCCUGAUCCAGCCAUGCCGCGUGUGUGAUGACGGCCUUAGGGUUGUAAAGCACUUUCAGCAGUGAAGAUAAUGACAUUAACUGCAGAAGAAGCCCCGGCUAACUUCGUGCCAGCAGCCGCGGUAAUACGAAGGGGGCUAGCGUUGUUCGGAAUCACUGGGCGUAAAGCGUACGUAGGCGGGCUGAUAAGUUAGGGGUGAAAUCCCGGGGCUCAACCCCGGAACUGCCUUUGAUACUGUCAGUCUUGAGAUCGAGAGAGGUGAGUGGAACUCCGAGUGUAGAGGUGAAAUUCGU
rnacentral:rRNA from 1 species